rnacentral:rRNA from 1 species
GGCGAACGCUGGCGGCGUGCUUAACACAUGCAAGUCGAACGGAAAGGCCCUGCUUUUGUGGGGUGCUCGAGUGGCGAACGGGUGAGUAACACGUGAGUAACCUGCCCUUGACUUUGGGAUAACUUCAGGAAACUGGGGCUAAUACCGGAUAGGAGCUCCUGCUGCAUGGUGGGGGUUGGAAAGUUUCGGCGGUUGGGGAUGGACUCGCGGCUUAUCAGCUUGUUGGUGGGGUAGUGGCUUACCAAGGCUUUGACGGGUAGCCGGCCUGAGAGGGUGACCGGCCACAUUGCGACGGAACUACGGCCCAGACUCCAACGGGAGGCAGCAGAGGAGAAUAUUGCACAAUGGGCGGAAGCCUGAUGCAGCAACGCCGCGUGCGGGAUGACGGCCUUCGGGUUGUAAACCGCUUUCGCCUGUGACGAAGCGUGAGUGACGGUAGUGGGUAAAGAAGCACCGGCUAACUACGUG